rnacentral:antisense_RNA from 1 species
GGUGGCAGAAGUUGCAAGAGAGGCUCCUGGCCUACUCAGGGGCGCCGCCUCUCCGAGUUUUGCGGCCCAAGGCUUGGGCGAAUCAGUUCACAUCAACACCCCUACUAGCCUCUCCCUCCGGGGUCGACCAUUUAUCUCCAGCAGCGGACCAGGCGCCCGGGGCCAGGGUGACAUGCGCGCCCUGCCUACACGCAGCUCGGAUCCUCUGCUGUUUCUGGAGAGGCCUCCACAGGUAGAAGCUCCCUGGAACAACUGCUGGAAUAAGGUUCCAGAGUGGAAGGUGGAAGCUCCCUCUUGGGAUAAAGGAUCCACAGUGGAAAAAAAAAAGUUGCCCUCUGCUGGAAAACAGCAUCUUUGUCCUCUGAGAAAAACAGUCUCCCUUCUUACGGAGGCCAGUGGAUUCCAUCCUAGAGGCUGUGUUGACCGUAUCUCCAAAUAGACAAUAACGAGGCAUCUUGAUUCCCACAACUCCAGC